rnacentral:lncRNA from 1 species
AUGUGCAAAGGAAGAAAGGGAGGAGCAGGGAAUCAGGUCCAGGUUCAGCCUCAUCUCCAAUUCUGCAUCAAAUCUCAUCUCUCUCCUGAGCUGCACAUGAACCCCCCAGGGAAUGGGAACCCGCUGUGCCUCGGAGGACAGAGCAAGGCCAACACAGUCUCAAAGACAGUCUGUUUUAAGGGGGUACCCACUUCGCCCCACCUCUCAUUCUGGCCCCAAAUGACUGAAACAUGCUUUGGAAAAAAAAAUAAAAUAAAAAGUCUUAUUAGUUUUUAUCAUCAAUCCAUUUUUUGGGGGAAAGCUCCUGCUUCCCUAAAACAGCUGCCAUCAUCUCAUCAUGCCUGUAGCAACCAGCGUCUUUCCAGAGAUGGAAGCAUCUCCUUUUGGAGGCGUCUUUCCCUAGGAAGGCUGAUGGAAAAGGGGCCGCUCCUGGGACACGCUGGGUCCUCCCGGGGGUCUGCUCUCCCAGCAUCUGCGCUCCGCAAGUGUGGCAGCCUCCCAGGCCCGCGAGCAGAACACACUCGAGGUGAAACAGCGUGCUGUGUGCACCCGCGUGCAGACGCAUGUGGCCACGUGCAGGUGCGCACAUGUGUGGGUGCAGACACAGCCACAUGCACGUAUCCGUGCCAGGGCGUCCGCGUGCCAGGGCGUCCGCAUGCCCUGCCCGCAGCAAGCAACCGCUGGAGCCCUGCCAGCACUGGCUUUCAAAACCCUUCAGGUGCAGGGAAUUUGCGGAGGCUACAAAACCAAACAGAAGCAGCACCAGGCAGUAAAUCAGGGCCAGCCCUGUUAUUCAUUUAUUUAUGCCUUUUAAACCAGCCUCCCUUGGGAGAGCUGCCAAGUGCUGCCUGUGAGGGCUGCAGGGCGGAGGCACCCGCAGGAUACCUGCGCCACGGGAGCAGAAGCAGGAGGGAACCUUGUUCACUGCUGGUCGGGAGCUGCGGAGCUGCUUGCCUCCGCUCCCAGCUCCAGGGUGGCUGCAGCAGUGCCAAGGCUUCACCGGGAGACACGGCAGAGCCUGGGAAUGGCAUUGCCUUGGACCCAGCCAGCUGCCCCAAGCAGCCCCAGCUGAGAGCUGCAAUUAUUUCAAUGCAAUUAUUAAAAGAAAAUUCAUUGCAAUUAUUUCUCACCUUGUGA